UAUUAAUAUAUAUUAAAAACUAUAUCAUAAUAUAAAAUGAAAUGAUGAAAACUAACAAUACUUUUAUCACCAAUCAUUGUUUUGCUUCAGCAAACUGGGCCUGCCAGCUUCUUUUCUAGUUUCUUCUAAAAAUGAGUUUUGCUACCUCUUUUCUUUGGAGUCAGUUUUGGAAUGCUAUUUGGUUAUUGCAAUGGACAAUUUGUCUUCCGUAAUUACCCUUUGGGUAACAAAAUACUGAUAAAAUAAUAACACUCUGCCGUAAUUUUUUACUCUUCUUUCACAUACUCAUCAUCACAUUGGUGCAAUUGUCAAAUUCAGCAUGUUCAAUGUUGAUUAUAUCUGUGUUUUUGUGCCUUUUGAUAUAAAUACCUUUUAUGAGAGAUGACUAUAUGCAUGUUGGCUUAUAUUAAUCUCAUUAAUUUUAUUUAUUUUUAUAUUUUAAUUUAUAACUAUUUGUUCAGUUACUAUUAUUUUUUAUUUUUUUAUGUGUCAGUAUUAUUUUUAUUGUUUUUCUUUUGCCCAUUAUGCACCCACUUCUCCACUUUAGCCUUGUUUCAUAUACAAGUAUGGAUGAAAAUAUACAAGAGAGGAUAAAAUAAUGACUGCCAAGCCUAAUAUUAUUCAUGAAUGGUGCUAUUAAUACAUGUUGUUUUAGUAUUCCUCUCUUUUGAGAAGAGGAAUGAAAGUGAAAGAUGAAGGUGAAUGAUUUUAAAUAUUUUAAGAUAAAUGGAAAAGUACUAAAGAAGAUUUUGCUGAUUAUAAUUUUUUGAAAUUAGUGCACACUAUGUUCUAAUUAUGCAUUGAAGAAGUGAAUAAUUAAUGGCAAUAACUUUUAGAUAAAUUAAAUAACAAAAGUCUAUUAUAAACAAAAUUUAUUUAAAUGAGCAAUUGACACAGUUUGUGUUUAUUUGUUGUUACACUUUAAGAUAUUUAUAUUAUUUCAUAGUUAUAAAUUAUCAAAUAUAACAGCAAACAACGAAAUGCUAAACAUUUAAUUCAUUGAAAACAAUCAUGUAAUGGAUAUUAAGAUAUAAGAAGGUUUGACGGAAAUUGACAAACCGUAUUGUUUAUUAAAGUGGAAACCGUGUGAACUUUUUGAUAAGCCUUCUUAUGAGUUAUCACAUUGUUUCAUACUGUUGUGAACAUUUAACAUUUUAUAACAGUUAAUGUUUUAGAUAUUAAUGUAUAAAACAUUUAUUUAAUUAAAUUUUAAAAUUUGUCACUUUAACAAAUUCUUAUAUCAACAUCAUAUGAGAAACUAUAAUAUAAGUUAAAAUAUUAAAAAAAAUAUUCAUAAAGUCAUUUUUCAUAAUUUAUUUGAUAUAUUGAUCAUGAAUAUAGUCAGGGAUUUAUUAAGAUUUGAAAUAAUAAUAGAAGCAUAUUCAAUAUUGAAUAUUAAAUAUUGUAUGCUUCUUGAAAUAUAUUGCUGAAGUGUGUGUGUUUUUAUUAAAAUAGUUGUUUAUGACUGUGUGGCCAAUGGAGAUUACUUUCACUCAACCAAGGAAUUAACUGUAACAUCAUUGGAUUUAGUCAUGAAAUAUUAUACAAUGGAAAUUAUUAUUAUUUUCUCAUGUCAAAGAAUUGAUUUUUAUGUGAACAAGAAUAUAUUCCAGCCUUCCACAACCUUAUUUUGGUGUUCUGGGAAACAAAAUUCAGACUUAGAAUACUUUUAGUAACAUAAGAAAAAAAUAAUAAAAAUAAGAUACUGGAUAAUAAACCAAUAAUAUACAAUAAUCAUCAAUGAAUUUAAGUGAUAUUGUUGUACAACAUAUUAUUUUUUAAGGUGUAAUAUAAGGAUUAUCAUACAUAAUUAUAAACUUAUCAUACAAAUUUAACAUAAAAUUUAUAAAUUUUAAACAAACACGAGCUCUUCUUCAAAAUGCCUAAAGUUUGAUUUAUGAGAUACAUUUGUAAUUUAUUAUUUUUUUUUUCAAAAUAUGUAAAUGAUUUAACCAAUUGAAAAUAACAAUUUAGUUUGUAGUUUUUAACAAUACUCCUAAGGAAAAUGAACCAUUUCAGUUAUUUCUGUCAUUAAAAAAUAAGUACAAACUCGAGGAAUUUAUACAUGAGCCUGUUUACAGAAUUCUCUUGGAUUGAUUGAAAUAUAUCCAAUAAUAAAUCCAGUAAUAAGGAUUAUAGAUAAAUUUCUUUGAAAAACACUCCCCACAUUAUCACCUUCCAUUUUUAUAAUUCAAGCGUUUUAAUCUAAACUAUGCAAUUAUUAAUUAUAUUGUUCUAGGAAAGUAUGAAUAGGUGACGGAAUGAAUGUUUGCAAUUGUUGGAACUUGUUAUUUGGUUUCCAACUAUUGAAAGUAAUUAUUGAUAUUUGUUUAUAGAUAGAAAGUAUAGAUAUAAAAUUAAUAAUUAUUCCAACAAGUUUUAUUGAAUCAACAUUAAUCUUGUUGAAAUUUACAAAUUCAAAUAUAAUAUCAUCAUCAUGUGUUAAUAUAUAUGUACCUUGGUUUUAAUUAAGGGAAUAUUUAUGCAUUUAUAAAUAUCUGUGAAAUACAUUUACGGAUGUGUGCGUACUUGAUAUGUGUAAAACGACUUUGUUGUUAAAUAUUGUGAAAUUUUGUGAUUAAUGUAAUCGAUAUGUUGUUAUUCAAAUGCUUCUAUACAAUUAAUUGUAAUUAAAAUUGUACAAAAAUUCGUUUUUAUUUCAGACCACUGUUCUAAAUUUUGUACUAAUGCGCUGUACAGAAUGUGACGUUUUAUAAUUUAGAGAAUACCAUUAAUUUGUAUAGAGAGCACCGUUGUUAAUAUAACUUACAUAGAAGAUGGUAUAACUAUUUGAUAAUGCUGAACAUGCUCAAGUACUAAAUUUAGAACAGACUAAGUGUAUUUAUUUUAUUUCUAUAUUUGUUACUUUGAUAUUUUGCAAUACUAUUUGUGUAAGAAUUUAUAUUGUCUGGACAAUAGCUAAAAUGUUUGGAAACUUUUUGUGCUUCUUGAAAGAUGUUUUUAAAAACAAUAUAAUUUUUUGCAAAUUUUAGUAAAUGAUAUUGUAUAUGACAAACAUAUCAGUGAAAAUAUAGUUUAAAUUAAUUGGAUAUAUAUAAAUAUAUAUACAUAUAUGACAAUAUUGGAAGAUAGUUUGUGUUGUUUUCCGAUAAACAAUGGUUACUAUAUCCAGUUGUAAUUCAGUAUUAUCAUAUAUAAAAAAAUAAAUACACACAAAUGCACUUAGAUGCAAUAUACCAUCCAUCGUAUCACAAGUUUUCAAAGAAGAAAACAAGUCAAGAAUUAUUCUUUUGUUGAAAUUAAAAUUUUGACGGAAAAUUAGAAAUAAAAUUGGUCUGCAGUUUUAAUAUCCAUAUGAAUUUUCAAAUCGGUGUGUCUUGGAUUUAUAGAUAUAAUUCUAAUUAAAAUUUGGAAAAUAUAAAAAUUGUAUUAUUGGUUUGUCUGUUAUUUAGAAAGUUAGAAGACUCCUCAAUGGAGUUCUUCAUUAUUUAUUUAUUUAUUACAAAUCUCUUAGUGUAUCGUUAAUUAUAAUUUUGCAAAGUAUUGAUAUUACCAGUACUGCAUUAAUUUUUAUGAAUUUACUCAGUAUAGAUUUACAAUCAUUACAAUAUGGAAGUAAAUGUCUAGAUAAAACAGUAUUUAUUUCAAGACAGUAAUGUAAAUACAGUAUUAAGUUUCUGAAAAUUCAUAAUAAUGAAAAUAAAAUUACAAUAAAAAAAAUUUCAAGAAUUAUCCUCUGUGUUGUAAUCCAGUAUAUGUCAUUUAUGUAACUAAUGUCAAAAUUAUAAAAAGUUAUA
rnacentral:lncRNA from 1 species